rnacentral:rRNA from 1 species
CCCCAGACUCCUACGGGAGGCAGCAGUGGGGAAUAUUGGGCAAUGGGCGCAAGCCUGACCCAGCAACGCCGCGUGAAGGAAGAAGGCUUUCGGGUUGUAAACUUCUUUUCUAAGGGACGAAGAAAGUGACGGUACCUUAGGAAUAAGCUCCGGCUAACUACGUGCCAGCAGCCGCGGUAAUACGUAGGGAGCGAGCGUUGUCCGGAUUUACUGGGUGUAAAGGGCGUGUAGCCGGGCUGACAAGUCAGAUGUGAAAUUCCGGGGCUCAACCCCGGACCUGCAUUUGAAACUGUUGGUCUUGAGUAUCGGAGAGGCAGGCGGAAUUCCUAGUGUAGCGGUGAAAUGCGUAGAUAUUAGGAGGAACACCAGUGGCGAAGGCGGCCUGCUGGACGACAACUGACGGUGAGGCGCGAAAGCGUGGGGAGCAAACAGGAUUAGAUACCCCUGUAGA